ACCCGGUCAAUUAGAUAGGGAGGACCAGGAGUUUAUGAGAUUUUGGCGCACUUAUAAUAAAUAGUUUAACCCCGUCUUGGAACGUGUCUUGCGUGAACUGUGAGAAAUCACACAGUAAGAGCCACACCACGUAGUAAAAUGGUACAGAGCGGACUAUGAAUAAACAAUGGAUUGCUUGUUGGUGUUGUACACAAAAAUAGCCCCCACUGACGUGUAGUAUACCGUGUCACAACCUACCCCUGAAGUGUGAUCAGUAGGAAGGAGUGAGCUAACCUCUGUGGCAAUCAGGGAUAGACCAAGAGGGGUGACCCGGUUGAUAAAGUGGAGCUCAGGGCUCCACUGCUAGCUCAGCUCAGGGUAGGAAAAAACAGGGAAGUCGCCUCACCGGGAAAGAGGCUCAUUCAGCGGGAUAAUCCAGGCAUAAAACGUGCAGUGGGAGUUGACCCACCCUGUGAGGUAAAGAGAAAGGGAAGGGAAGGGAAAGGGAAAGGGGGAUUCUAGUCAGUUGUACAACUAAAUGCAUUCAACUGAAAUGUGUCAGAAGAUCCACAAGCAAAGACUACCCUCGCGUGAAUGAAGCUAGUAGGUCCGUCAGGGAGACGGCCCAUACUAGUCACCUCGACAUUACUUCUCCGUGCAAAGUACUAGAAUAAAACUACUUGAAGGACCCUGACAGAGAUAUGGGCCUUCGGAAGAUACAACCGUAGUCCAAGGCAGGAGUUGGCAGGAAAUGUCCAUACAUCCACGUUGAGGCCUGCUACAGGCAGGAACAUGGAGCACUCCAUGUCAGUGUCAAGAGAAUAUUCCAGAGCCUUCUGACUAACUACCGGAGAUCUCUCCAAAACAGAUAAGUGAGUCUGCUGGGCCAUGGAACUCUAGAGCAGCACAUAAAAAACCUUCCCACCUGUUACCACCUAUCAGCAGACAGUUCCCUGAGGAAGGAUGCAACUCUCAAGGACAAUGAACAAAUUUGGUGGAUGAUCACCAAACGGAAUAAAGUUUUGUAUAAACUA